CCUUUACUAUAGCUUGACACUGAACAUUGAGCCUUGAUGUGUAGGAUAGGUGGGAGGCUUUGAAGUGUGGACGCCAGUCUGCAUGGAGCCGGCCUUGAAAUACCACCCUUUAAUGUUUGAUGUUCUAACGUGGACCCGUAAUCCGGGUUGCGGACAGUGUCUGGUGGGUAGUUUGACUGGGGCGGUCUCCUCCUAAAGAGUAACGGAGGAGCACGAAGGUUGGCUAAUCCUGGUCGGACAUCAGGAGGUUAGUGCAAUGGCAUAAGCCAGCUUGACUGCGAGCGUGACGGCGCGAGCAGGUGCGAAAGCAGGUCAUAGUGAUCCGGUGGUUCUGAAUGGAAGGGCCAUCGCUCAACGGAUAAAAGGUACUCCGGGGAUAACAGGCUGAUACCGCCCAAGAGUUCAUAUCGACGGCGGUGUUUGGCACCUCGAUGUCGGCUCAUCACAUCCUGGGGCUGAAGUAGGUCCCAAGGGUAUGGCUGUUCGCCAUUUAAAGUGGUACGCGAGCUGGGUUUAGAACGUCGUGAGACAGUUCGGUCCCUAUCUGCCGUGGGCGCUGGAGAACUGAGGGGGGCUGCUCCUAGUACGAGAGGACCGGAGUGGACGCAUCACUGGUGUUCGGGUUGUCAUGCC
rnacentral:rRNA from 1 species